rnacentral:rRNA from 1 species
CAGCAGCCGCGGAAAACAGAGGGUGCGAGCGUUAAUCGGAUUUACUGGGCGUAAAGCGUGCGUAGGCGGCUUCUUAAGUCGGAUGUGAAAUCCCUGAGCUUAACUUAGGAAUUGCAUUCGAUACUGGGAAGCUAGAGUAUGGGAGAGGAUGGUAGAAUUCCAGGUGUAGCGGUGAAAUGCGUAGAGAUCUGGAGGAAUACCGAUGGCGAAGGCAGCCAUCUGGCCUAAUACUGACGCUGAGGUACGAAAGCAUGGGGAGCAAACAGGAUUAGAUACCCGAGUAGUCCCUGUCUCUUAUACA